UACGAAGGGGGCUAGCGUUGCUCGGAAUCACUGGGCGUAAAGGGUGCGUAGGCGGGUCUUUUAAGUCAGGGGUGAAAUCCUGGAGCUCAACUCCAGAACUGCCUUUGAUACUGAAGAUCUUGAGUUCGGGAGAGGUGAGUGGAACUGCGAGUGUAGAGGUGAAAUUCGUAGAUAUUCGCAAGAACACCAGUGGCGAAGGCGCUCACUGGCCCGAUACUGACGCUGAGGCACGAAAGCGUGGGAGCA
rnacentral:rRNA from 1 species